rnacentral:rRNA from 1 species
UACGUAGGGUGCGAGCGUUGUCCGGAAUUACUGGGCGUAAAGAGCUCGUAGGUGGUUUGUCGCGUUGUUCGUGAAAACCGGGGGCUUAACCCUCGGCGUGCGGGCGAUACGGGCAGACUUGAGUACUGCAGGGGAGACUGGAAUUCCCGGUGUAGUGGUGAUAUGCGUAGAUAUCGGGAGGAACACCUGUGGCGAAGGCGGCCUUCUGGACGAUGACUGACGCUGAGACGCGAAAGCGUGGGGAGCAAACAGG